ACUUUAUGAAAGUAUAACAUAGCUUUCAAUGAUUCUGCAAAACAGUUUCGCCUCUAUUUUCUCACUUGUGCACACAAACACUGCAAGUUAAAGAGGGCAAAUAUCAUCCCAUUUCAAAAAUAAAGAAAGGGCCUCAGGUUAAUAAGUAACUCAUGAAACCCUAUGCACUUCCUGUCCUCAACAAGAUGCAUCUACCUGACAGCACACCAAAGUGGAGACGUUCACCGCACGCAGUGGGGGAACGCACACCUCUGGGCACCAUGUGACUCCUCACGAGUUGAGAUGCGCACAAAGCUCCUUCAGGCCAAACAAGGACAGCAUGUGAAUAAACAGGGCAGCAUGGGAAUAAACAGGGCAGCACAGGAAUAAACAGGCAGCGUGGGAACAAACAGGGCAUGUGGGAAUAAACAGGGCAGUGAGGGAAUAAACAGGCAGCGUGGGAAUAAACAGGCAGCGUGGGAAUAAACAGGGCAGUGAGGGAAUAAACAGGCAUUAUAUAUUGGCAAAAUAUUUCUCAAUGUCCACAUUCCAGAAGAUAUGCCAU